rnacentral:rRNA from 1 species
AGAUUGAACGCUGGCGGCAUGCCUUACACAUGCAAGUCGAACGGUAACAGGGAGCUUGCUCCGCUGACGAGUGGCAAACGGGUGAGUAAUACAUCGGAACGUGCCCAGUAAUGGGGGGAUAGCUCGGCGAAAGCCGGAUUAAUACCGCAUACGCCCUGAGGGGGAAAGUGGGGGAUCGCAAGACCUCGCGUUAUUGGAGCGGCCGAUGGCUGAUUAGCUAGUUGGUAGGGUAAAGGCCUACCAAGGCGACGAUCAGUAGCUGGUCUGAGAGGACGAUCAGCCACACUGGGACUGAGACACGGCCCAGACUCCUACGGGAGGCAGCAGUGGGGAAUUUUGGACAAGUGGGGGAAACCCUGAUCCAGCAAUGCCGCGUGUGCGAAGAAGGCCUUGGGUUGUAAAGCACGUUUGUCGAGGAAGAAAUCCGUUUGGCUAAUAUACCGUAGGGAUGACGGUACCUGAAGAAUAAGCACCGACUAACUACGUGCCAGCAGCCGCGGUAAUCGUAGA